GGUUCAGCCCACACUUAGGCCAUAGCCCUGUUAACUUGUCUUACCAAGAUAACUAUUUCUUGCAAGAGUUCGACUCUGGCUAUGUAGAGAACAAUGUCAGCCAGAUUCCAUUUCGUGAUUCUCAAGUCUCUCUUCACUGUCGUCAGAACGGUUCCCACCAAAGUCCAUCACCAGUUUCUGACACAAAUAAAACAGGUUUUGAACGGUCUAUCUACACACUGCUUGUGGACCUGAAAAUGUCUGUGAAGUGCUUGGAGAGAAAAAUCGAAGAGAUGAGCAAUGCGAUGUCACAAGAGAAAGCGUUUUUGGAUGUUGAACUGCCACGUUUUCCUCUAGGAUCUGACGACGAACUUAAAGAUUUCCGCACUAGACUGUCUGACACAAACAUA